rnacentral:rRNA from 1 species
GCUUGUCUCAAAGAUUAAGCCAUGCAUGUUCAAGUAUAGCAAGUGUACAGUGAAACUGCGAAUGGCUCAUUAAAUCAGUUAUAAUUUAUUUGAUAGUGAAAUUGUACAUGGAUAACCGUGGCAAUUCUAGAGCUAAUACAUGCAUCAACUCCCAACUGCUUGUCGGACGGGAUGUAUUUAUUAGAUUGAAACCAAUGCGGGGCAACCCGGUAUUGUGGUGAAUCAUAAUAACUUUGCGGAUCGCAGACCUCGCGUCGGCGACGAAUCAUUCAAGUUUCUGCCCUAUCAGCUUUGGAUGGUAGGGUAUUGGCCUACCAUGGCUCUAACGGGUAACGGAGAAUUGGGGUUCGAUUCCGGAGAGGGAGCCUGAGAGAUGGCUACCACAUCCAAGGAAGGCAGCAGG